rnacentral:rRNA from 1 species
AGAGUUUGAUCAUGGCUCAGGAUAAACGCUGGCGGCGCACAUAAGACAUGCAAGUCGAACGGACUUAAUCGAUUCUUUUAGAUUCGAAGCGGUUAGUGGCGGACUGGUGAGUAACACGUAAGCAACCUGCCUAUUAGAGGGGAAUAACAGUGAGAAAUCACUGCUAAAACCGCAUAUGCCGUGAACAUCGCAUGAUGAAAACGGGAAAAGAGCAAUCUGCUAAUAGAUGGGCUUGCGUCUGAUUAGCUAGUUGGUGUGGUAAUGGCAUACCAAGGCAACGAUCAGUAGCCGG